UACGUAGGCAGCAAACGUUGUUCGGAGUUACUGGGCGUAAAGAGUGCGUAGGCGGUUCGCCAAGUUUGGUGUGAAAUCUCCCGGCUUAACUGGGAGGGUGCGCCGAAAACUGGCGGGCUUGAGUGUGGGAGAGGGAAGCGGAAUUCCUGGUGUAGCGGUGAAAUGCGUAGAUAUCAGGAGGAACACCGGUGGUGUAGACGGCUUCCUGGACCACAACUGACGCUGAGGCACGAAAGCGUGGGUAGCAAAC
rnacentral:rRNA from 1 species